rfam:Nematostella vectensis strain CH2 x CH6 NEMVEscaffold_19_Cont3571, whole genome shotgun sequence.
AACCCAGGGGUAUUUUGCUCUAACGUUUUACUCGCGAGUGAAACGUUAGAGCAAAAUACUCCUGGGUU